UGUUGUUUUCUUGGUCAUUGUUGUCCGUUCAUAUAACACCUGCAAUUGCUUUGCAGCUUAUGCGAGGGUUAUAUAACGGUCAACAGAGACCUUUGACAUCAAAAA
rnacentral:pre_miRNA from 2 species